GUACCCUGUCCACUGUCUGCUGACCUUACCAAUCCAUGCUCCUCCAUCCACAUGCAGGUGUGAGGGCUGUAUUGGUCUCUUGUUGCUACAGUCAUUAAUUAAUAGUUUUUAGCAUCCCUAACAUAAACCGUCUCGAGAUUUGGAACUGAGUGUCAGUAUCCCACGCAGAAGUUUGGAUUCUGGAGUAGUUCAGAUAUCAUGUUUCCUUGCCCCGCCAAGGGGACCUGGCUCAGUGGGCAAGCUACUUGCAGUACAAGCAAUGAGGACCCAAGACCGAAUCCCCAGCAUCUAUGUAAGAGCCAAACAUAGCUCUGUGUGCCUGUAACCCUAGCACUGGGUGUUUAGAUAAAGGAGAAUCCUGGAGGCCCACUGGCCUGCCACCCUAGCUGGGUUGGCAAGCUCCAAAUUCCGACAGACUGUGUCUCAAAAAUUAAAGUGAAGAUCAAUUCAGGAAGACACCCGACAUGGACACAGGUCCCUGCACCCAGUUGUGCACAAGCACAUACACACGCAUGCACGCACAUGCAACACACGGAAUGAAAGAAAACCACUGUCCAAGCAGUAAAGCCUAUGUACUCGAUCUGAGGUACUUGUACUCAUGAGCAAGCGUUGGGGACAACAGAUACCCAGUGCAUCCUACAGACAGAGUGACACAUGUCACAUAAACAUCAUCUUGGUGGCCUAGAGGCCAGAAUCCCAGAGGAAAGAGCAGGGUGGCCUCUCUGCUGGAAGCACAUAGGGAAAUUGGUUUCCUCUUUUUCCUAGCAAUCUUAGACCUCCUAGAUCCCUUGGCUUACGGCCCUUCCUCAUUUAAAAACCCCUCCUCGAUCUCUCGGUCUCUUCCCUGUCAACCUUGCAAACACAGUUCUCUCUCAGCCUGCUUCCCUUCCUCGGGCUUGGUCUGCCUGGUACUCCAUAGCCAUUUCCCAUUUCCCCAUCGGGAGUCUUAUCAUUUUACUGGCAUCUGAAAAGUCCUUUUUGUCGUAGAGGGUAACCUGGUCACAGAUUCCAGAGUUAGGUGUGUCCAUCUUCGGGGACCACCACUCUUAACUCAUUCCUCUCCCUGAGAAAACGGAAUGCACCCCCCCCCAGCCUUUGUUGUACUAAGAUUAAUAAUAAUGGCAAGACUUUCACAAUAAGCAAUAAUUAUGCAUGUAACUAUAAAAAUUAUGUCAUUUUAGGUCAUUUUAAAUCUUCGUGCCAUCAUCCUUAUAAUAAUUCUGUAGGUGAUGGAGAAAACCAUUGUUGCUUUUGCAGUUGAAAAAUUAAUUGAUUAAUUGAUUGAUUAAUUAAUUAAUUAGGUAAGCUUUAGAAAUGUGUUAAGGGUCAGGUUUCAGUGCUCAGACUCUGCAUUGCAUCACAAACCAGGAUCCUUUAGGCUGGGACCAUGGCAGGUACCAUGCAAUGCCAGGAACGAGUGUGGUUUCUUAUUAUUUACCAAGCCCUGGGUUUGCCCUGGGUUUGUCUGUUCGGUACAAGCCUUCCCUUUGUGAGACAUAGACCCCUUGUUGAGUGAGAAUUCCCCCAGCUGUAGGACUUUCGCAAAGGCUUGGUGCAGGCAGAGGUAUUAGUUUCAGUAAAUGAGUCAGUACAUCUGGGGAAAACAGAACAAAACCAGCUCUGGCAGGCUCUACAGAUGGGUUCUGUGAGUAUGCUAAAGUCACACUUUUAAGCACUGUAAAGGGUAGAAAGUACAUUGGUCUUCUGCUCUUGGGAGCUUGGCAGUGCAAAAAUUGGCAGACAUCAGUGUGAGUAAACCCAGUAUGGAGCUGUCGCUGCUCAGAGAAGGUCUGCAGGAACUCAGGGAGGAAGGCAAACUCCUCUGCAGGGGCCAAUAAGAAAGCUUUCUUUAAAAGUUACUGCCAUGACUGCUGAAUUCAGCCAUCAGCCUGGACUAGGUCUAAUGCCCAGUACAUUUGCUGGGCCAGACGGAGUGGAUCACAGAUGCGGCAGUUGUCUUGAGUCAACAGACAUCGUUUCUGGGCCAACUGGUCUCAGAAGAGGACUCUCUUCCUGCUUCAUAAAUGGCUGCCUUCUUCCUCUGUCCUCACAUGGCAGAGAAAACACAGG
rnacentral:lncRNA from 1 species